rnacentral:siRNA from 1 species
GUUCAAUCAGAUGGUAAUUA